rnacentral:rRNA from 1 species
UGUGAGGCGAACGCGGCGAACUGAAACAUCUAAGUAGCUGCAGGAAAAGAAAUCAACCGAGAUUCCCAAAGUAGUGGCGAGCGAAAUGGGAAGAGCCUGUACGUGAUAGUCGUUUUGAUAGUGGAAUUCUCUGGAAAGUGAAACCAUAGCGGGUGAUAGUCCCGUACACGAAAUCAAAGCGGUGGUACUAAGCGUACGACAAGUAGGGCGGGACACGAGAAAUCCUGUCUGAAUAUGGGGGGACCAUCCUCCAAGGCUAAAUACUCGU